UCUUCGACAUCUUUUCUCUCGCACGCAAUCUCCAAUGAAGAAGCAGCUAAUAUCGCUCGUCGUCAAUUGUUACACCUAGAAGAAAACGACGACUUACCUGAAAAUUACGCGGAAACUGUUAAAACAGAAUUCACGUUUCCUAAUCCCAAUCUUAAACGCGCUUAUGUAGGGCUUCAAGCAUGGAAAAAAGCUAUGUAUUCUGAUCCAACAGGCGUUACCAAGAAUUGGGUAGGGCCAGAUGUUUGUUCUUACGAGGGAGUUUUCUGUGCACCUUCUCUUAAUGAUCCGAAAAUUGAAGUUGUAGCUGGGAUUGAUCUUAAUCAUGCAGACAUUGCAGGUUACAUUCC
rnacentral:lncRNA from 1 species